rnacentral:rRNA from 1 species
GACGAACGCUGGCGACGUGCUUAACACAUGCAAGUCGAACGGAAAGGCCCUGCUUUUGUGGGGUGCUCGAGUGGCGAACGGGUGAGUAACACGUGAGUAACCUGCCCUUGACUUUGGGAUAACUUCAGGAAACUGGGGCUAAUACCGGAUAGGAGCUCCUGCUGCAUGGUGGGGGUUGGAAAGUUUCGGCGGUUGGGGAUGGACUCGCGGCUUAUCAGCUUGUUGGUGGGGUAGUGGCUUACCAAGGCUUUGACGGGUAGCCGGCCUGAGAGGGUGACCGGCCACAUUGGGACUGAGAUACGGCCCAGACUCCUACGGGAGGCAACAGUGGGGAAUAUUGCACAAUGGGCGGAAGCCUGAUGCAGCAACGCCGCGUGCGGGAUGACGGCCUUCGGGUUGUAAACCGCUUUCGCCUGUGACGAAGCGUGAGUGACGGUAAUGGGUAAAGAAGCACCGGCUAACUACGU